rnacentral:rRNA from 1 species
AGUGAACGCUGGCGGUAGGCCUAACACAUGCAAGUCGAACGGCAGCACAGUAAGAGCUUGCUCUUACGGGUGGCGAGUGGCGGACGGGUGAGGAAUACAUCGGAAUCUACUUUUUCGUGGGGGAUAACGUAGGGAAACUUACGCUAAUACCGCAUACGACCUACGGGUGAAAGCAGGGGAUCUUCGGACCUUGCGCGAUUGAAUGAGCCGAUGUCGGAUUAGCUAGUUGGCGGGGUAAAGGCCCACCAAGGCGACGAUCCGUAGCUGGUCUGAGAGGAUGAUCAGCCACACUGGAACUGAGACACGGUCCAGACUCCUACGGGAGGCAGCAGUGGGGAAUAUUGGACAAUGGGCGCAAGCCUGAUCCAGCCAUACCGCGUGGUGAAGAAGGCCUUCGGGUUGUAAAGCCCUUUUGUUGAGAAAGAAAAGCAGCAGGUUAAUACCCCGCUGUUCUGACGGUACCCAAAGAAUAAGCACCGGCUAACUUCGUG